rnacentral:tRNA from 10 species
UAAAGCAAAUAAUACCACCUUGGCUGGCAAAAUAAAGGCUCUCCUUUGAAUAAUGCUGAGUUUAAAAAGCCAGUCCUGCCCUCUUCAAUAGCUCAGCUGGUAGAGCGGAGGACUGUAGGUGCACGCCCGUGGCCAUUCUUAGGUGCUGGUUUGAUUCCGACUUGGAGAGACACCUUUGUUUGGCUUCCUAUAUUCCUAUACAUUAUAGCUAGGUGCGGUGGCUCACGCCUAUAAUCCCAGCACUCUGAGAAGUCAAGGCAGGUGGAUCACCUGGGGUCAGGAGUUCAAGACCAGCCUGGCCAACGUGGUGAAACCCCGUCUCUACUAAAAAUACAAAAAUCAGCUGGGCAUCAUGGCAGCCACCUGGAAUCCCAGCUACUCGGAAGGCUGAGGCAGGAGAAUUGAUAGAACCCGGGAGGUGGGGGUUGCAGUGAGCCCAGAUCGCACCACUGCACUCCAGCCUCACUCGGGCAACCAAGUGAGGCUCCAUCUCAAAAACAAAACAAAAAAAAAAAUUGUUUCACCAUCCUUAUAAUUAUCCUACAUGGAAACCUGAGAAUUUAGGAUAACUAGACUCUGACUACGUAGGCUCUUCCUUCGUUAAUCUCCAUAUCUAAUAAGUUUCUAUGUCAUUUUAAUUCUUAUGAAUCUCACUUGGCUUUGAACCUCUUCUGCCAGUUUCUUAAUUCAGUUAAAUUCUGAUCAUCUCCUAGUUGGUCUAUUUCUUGGUCUGGCUCUUUUCUAUUCUUCAUACUGUUUACAUGUUGAUUUUACUAGUGCUCAAAUUUCUUCCAUGGUUCCACACUGCUUUCAGGUUCUAUAUUGCUUUCCACAAACGUGAACUUUUCUAUGUUUCUUAGAGUCACGUGUAAGACCUUCAAACCUCUACCUACUUCUCGUCCUCAUCUCCCACAGCUUAUCCUUCUUUUCUGCUCUCUAGUCUCAUUGAGCCAUCUGGCAGUUCCCAAACAUGCCACAAUGUCUCCUGGUUUUACCUUUAAACAAGUUCUUUACUCUUCCAGGAAUACCAGCCUUCCAUUUACUUGGCUCCCACUCAGCCCUCAUGAUGGAGCUCUAGCAUUUCCUCCUGAGAAGUCUUGCUGAACAUCUCUCAUCCUGCAGUGACCAUCUGUAAUUACUUUGUAGACUUUACAGUAUCAACUGAUUUCCUUCUUAAUCUCCUUUUGACUCAAAAUUUUUAGGAAACAUUCUCCAAUUACACAAAUUCUCUACUAUGAUCCAGAUUGAUCCCUUUGCCCCAAUGAGACCAUUAUAAUUACUGUACUUAUCUAAAAAUUAAUGAUCAUUGUUUCUGGUCUCUUACAUUAGAAUGUAAACUGCUGAAGGACAAAGAAUUCUGUCAAUGAGGACUUAGGACAUAAUUAUAUGUCUCUAAAAACUUUAUAAAUACUAGUCAAGUCUUGAAAACGAACAGACUAGCCUAGGCAACAUGGUGAAAACUCAUCUCUACAAAAAAAGUAAAAAAUAGGCUGGGCGUGGUGGCUCACGUCUGUAAUCCCAGCACUUUAGGAGGGCAAGGCGGGUGGAUCAUCUGAGGUCAGGAGAUCAAGACCAGCCUGGCUAACAUGGCGAAACCCCAUCUCUACUAAAAAUACAAAAAUUAGCUGGGUGUGGUGGUGCGUGCCUGUAGCCCCAGCUACUCAGGAAGCUGAGGCAGGAGAAUCGCUUGAACCUGUGAGGUGGAGGUUGCAAUGAGCCGAGAUCACGCCACUGCACUGGAGCGUGGGUGACAGAACAAGACUCUAUCUAAAAAAAAAAAAAAAAAAAAAGAAUUAGCCAGGGUUGGUGGUGCAUGCCUGUGAUCCCAGCUACUUGGGAGGCUGAGGUGGGAGAAUCACAUGAGCCUGGGAGGUCAAGGCUGCAGUGAAGCAAGCCCAAAGUGCUGGGAUUACAGACGUGAGCCACUGUUAAAUAAUGCCUCCAUAAAAUUAAUAUGUUAAACAUAAAAUGCCAGCUUUUGCACAAACUUUAAAAAAACAAAACAACAAGAUACAACAAACUAUUCCACGGACUUAAUUUGGAUCUUACUUAAGCCUUAAUUAGGCAAAUGAUACCAAGUCCAUAAUAUGUGCUCAAUAAGAUGAAAAUGUUAAUGAUGCUCUCAAGAACCAAUUCCAAAACUGAUAAGAUGUAUGUCAUUUGUACUUGAAAUCCUGUCCCACAAAACAAAAUAGUUUUGGCAUUUAAGUCAAACUCAUUCAAAAGACAAAAUAAAACUAGAAGAAAAUCUUCUUUAUAAAAGGCCGUUUCAGGUGUUGGUGAGGGAAGCAUUCAUUGAGUGACACAGGCAUGGGAUGCAAAGGACAAUUUCCAGGACAAUGCACUUAGUAAAGUACAAGUCAAGGUGAAGUCAGCCCUGGCAAGGACUGACAUUAAGAAAUUCUUGGAAAUACGAUUUAGACACCACGACAUGCAUGGGAAGUUUGAGAAAGAAAAGGACAACUUACUGAAGGUUCCCAGCAAGGUCCUGUCCUACUACAGCUAU